UCCGAGUUGUCCCCGGCAGUCCCUCUAGAGUCCCCGGCAUUACCCGCUGGCAACUAGAAGCAGGGGUUGCGCUCGUUGCGGCACUUAAGCCGACACCUCACGGCACGAGCUGACGACAGCCAUGCAGCACCUGUGCUAGCCCCCGAAGGACACGGGCUUUCACCCGCUUUAACUAGCAUGUCAAACCUAGGUAAGGUUCUUCGCGUUGCAUCGAAUUAAGCCACAUGCUCCGCCGCUUGUGCGGGCCCCCGUCAAUUCCUUUGAGUUUCGGUCUUGCGACCGUACUCCCCAGGCGGAGUGUUUCACGCGUUAGCUGCGGCACGGGAGGAGUCGACACCUCCCACACCUAGUGUCCAUCGUUUACGGCGUGGACUAC
rnacentral:misc_RNA from 1 species